UCCAGAUCUUCAUCUGAUGACGUGACUCGGAUUUGGUACAGAUGGGUUGUGAACAGCAGUGUAAGAGCCUUGAGUCCUCCAAUAUUGAGUGUAGAAGAAUCGGCCGGCCAGACUCUGCCGCUCUCUGUUGCCACUGCAUUCAAGACAAAUAACCUGGACUGGGUCAAUGCUAAUCCCAAUCAACUCCAACAUUCCGUUAAGGCUUUGUGGAAACAUCAGAGCAAAGACAAGGCACCGACCCACGUAAAGUCAGAAUCUGUUGUCCAGGAAGAGACUGCUCAAUAAUUACCUAUGCGUUGCAGUAGCUUCUUGAUGCAAAUAACAUGACAAAAUGGCUUCACGGCUGCAAAUUGACAAUUCUGCUUCAUCUGCAUAAAAUAGUUUUUAAGUUACGAACUGCUAAUUCUGCUAUUGCUGCAUAAUUGAAUAAUCACAGUCUGCUUCAAUAGAGAUUAGUAGACAAUACUCCCUUUACAGCAUAGAAAUAACUAGACUAGAUAAGACAUUACUGGCCUUCCUAAUUAACCUUCCGAUGCAGGUGCAAUGGCUCGGUUAGUGAGAGAAGGGUGGCUUGAGUGUUGGAAAACAAAGUUGGUUCUCAGGAAAUAUCAUUGGACCAAAUAACUGUCAAAUAAAGGAUCGUGUAUCGUGUAUUGAUUGGUAAUUGUCUGAAUGUACUAUUGAUCAUGGCCUGUACCUUUCUUUAAGAAAAGUAUAAAAAUGUCUUUGUUUUAAGCCAUGUACACAGCUCCUCUGAGAAACAUGCAAGUGUAUAAUCUCUCUGUUUCUGGACGCUCUGUGCUGGUCAUAUGAAAAAUGAAGAGUGACGUUUUAAAA